GCACCCGUAGCUCAGCGGAUUAGAGCAGGACGGUUCUAACGUCAAGGUCGUAGGUUCGAAUCCUACCGGGUGUACCA
rnacentral:tRNA from 1 species